GAUCCUGGCUCAGGAUGAACGCUGGCGGCGCGCCUAACACAUGCAAGUCGAACGGUACCCACCCUCGGGUGGAAGCGAGUGGCGAACGGCUGAGUAACACGUGGAGAACCCGCCCCUCCUCCGGGAUAGCCUCGGGAAACCGUGGGUAAUACCGGAUGACCCCGCAGGGCCGCAUGGCCCCGCGGGCAAAGCCCAGACGGGAGGGGGUGGCUCCGCGACGCCCAUCGAGGUAGACGGGCGGGGUGACCGGCCCACCGUCGCCGACGGACGGGUACGGUCCGGG
rnacentral:rRNA from 1 species